GAUGAACGCUGGCGGCGUGGAUGAGGCAUGCAAGUCGAAUGAAUUUAGAUUCAUGGCAGACGAGGUAGGAACACGUGGGUACAUACCGUAGAGUCAGGGAUAACCUGUCGAAAGGCAGAAUAAUACUUGAUGGUCCCUUCGGGGUAAAGAUUUAUCGCUCUAUGAAUGGCCCGCGGUCUAUCAGCUUGUUGGUAAGGUAACGGCUUACCAAGGCUACGACGGAUAGGGGAGGUGAGAGCCUGACCCCCACCGAUGGAACUGCGACACGGUCCAU
rnacentral:rRNA from 1 species